UAUGCGCUGGGAAUUAGUGCCAUCGUAGAAGAAUAUUUCAGUGAUGUAGGUUUCUCUUUUUUGGAUGACAAUAUCUCAUAGGUUUCACCUACUCUGUCCCUCGCAUGUGCGUAACGAAUCAUCACAUCCGUUUUUACGGUUUACAGCGCAUCUCCAGUAGUACGGAGUAUUUGACAAUAAAGCAGCAAAAAAGUGGAGUGUUAAAGAGGAGUAUAAAAUAUUGAAAGUGAUUGUGAACGGUGUAUGUAGGAGUAUAGUUACAGAAUGCGUUAAAUAGUGCGAUCUCGUGUUUUGUCUCAUUUUCUCUCUUUCCUCCUUCCUCUUCCACACACACAAAAUUACUGUUUGCUCUUGGAGUACCGUUACACUACGUGGUGCUCUAAGUACCUCUACGAUCACACAUUUACGUGGGGCUCAGGAAUAAGUUUAUGAACCGCACGUAAAUGUAUGGUGGUAUGGGCCCCUAGCGGUACUCCAAUAAUACUGAAUAAUCACUCCUUCCACAAACUUUUCGGGCCUCGUUCCGCUAGUUUUUUUUAUAUUUUUAAGUUCUUAUUUUUUGUUUUACGAGACAUGUCAUUCUCUCACAAUAUGUUACUUUUAAUUCAAAAAAUAAGUAAAUAAGUACUUCCUCCGUCCCUAUUUAAAUGUCCACUACAGUUUUGGUUCAUUUUUACCGGCUUAUAUUUCUCGACGUAUAUAUUACAAUGACUAUUUCGACCCCAAAUUGUCUUUAGGAUAACCAAGACAAGAAGUCAUUGGUUGUUGUGAAUUGCCCUUGUAGUCAUUGGUUGAUGUGAUUCCGUUCCGGUUCGUUAUCAAUUUUUCUCCUCUUUUUUUGGUUAUCUUUUUUGGUGUCCCUUGUGUGGAAUUUCUCUCCAUUUGCGGGGCUUCUAUCACCCUGUAUGGGUGUUUUUGGUUGUUUUUUGUAAUGCUUCGUCUGUUUGGAGCGAUGUGUUUAGUUGAAGUUUGAUGUAAUUUUUUGCCUAAAUUCCCUCCCGUUUGGUUUCUUGAUCCUUUAUUUAGGGAUGAAAUUUUCUCUUAAUGUAUUGUUUCUUGGAUUUAUAAUAUUAUCUAUUAUCGUUUUGGGGAAAAAAAUACCAUAAAGAAUUCAUAAAAUUCUCCCAAAAAAUUCAAACUCGACAAUAUUACAUAAUGCCAUUUUUUAGUUAGCGGAACACGGCAUUGUAAGAAAUUACUUUUUCGUCGUCGUCAGAACCAUUUCUAACACCUCCCAUAUUUAUUUUUUACUUUUUGAGAAAUAGUUUUAAAAAAAGAACUUUUUGUCGAAACGGUGAAAAUCCCUUUGGAGCAAUAAAUAAAUAUGCAAUAAAGUUCUUUUUUCUUAUUAUUUCUCAAAAACUACUUUAAUCCAUAUUUUUUUUCUAUUUACGGAAAUUACUUCCCUUUUUUUACUUCCAAAUUUUACCUUUUCCCGUCUCUCUCCCUUUUCUUUUAGAAAUUCGACCUCAUACCACAGUUUACCACUAAUCAAUCCCACAACCAACCGCCAAAAUCCUAACCCCAAUUUCAGAAAUUCGAAAUUAUAGCCUUAAUGCCCUCAUUUCGAAUCCUCAAACCACAAAACUCGGUUUCAAAAUCAAAAGCCCUAAAAUUACAAAUUGGAAUCAAUGGAAACCAAAACCCUUACCUCGGUUGUAAUUCACCACACUGAUACCAGACACCACCACCUCCACAACUGUCCAAAAAUCACACGAAGAAGAUAGGGGACUUUUGGAUCACGUAAUGGUCCAUAAUUACUGGACCAUUACGUUUGGUACAGGUCCUAUUUUAAGAAAAUUGUUUUUACCUAAUUAUCCCUUAUUUGUCGAGCCAUUUUCUUUGGUGUUCCCACUGUUCCUAUCCUAUCUCGCCCCACUUGAGAAAUUUUUCGGUACCGGGUGGGUACCACGUGGUGUUCGAGUAGCCCAUCCGGGUCGUACAAAAGUGUGUUGGACGGCCCAAACUGAAAUCCUCUCUCUCCUCUCACCCCACC